rnacentral:rRNA from 1 species
ACCUAAUAGAUACCCUGGUAGUCCACGCCCUAAACGAUGCGAACUGGAUGUUGGGUACAUUACGGUACUCAGUGUCGAAAGCUAAACGCGUUAAGUUCGCCGCCUGGGGAGUACGGUCGCAAGACUGAAACUCAAAGGAAUUGACGGGGGCCCGCACAAGCGGUGGAGUAUGUGGUUUAAUUCGAUGCAACGCGAAGAACCUUACCUGGCCUUGACAUCUGUCGAAUCCUGCAGAGAUGCGGGAGUGCCGCAAGGAACGACAAGACAGGUGCUGCAUGGCUGUCGUCAGCUCGUGUCGUGAGAUGUUGGGUUAAGUCCCGCAACGAGCGCAACCCUUGUCCCUAGUUGCCAGCACGUAAUGGUGGGAACUCUAGGGAGACUGCCGGUGACAAACCGGAGGAAGGUGGGGAUGACGUCAAGUCCUCAUGGCCCUUACGGCCA